GACGAACGCUGGCGGCGUGCUUAACACAUGCAAGUCGAACGGAAAGGCCCUGCUUUUGUGGGGUGCUCGAGUGGCGAACGGGUGAGUAACAAGUGAGUAACCUGCCCUUGACUUUGGGAUAACUUCAGGAAACUGGGGCUAAUACCGGAUAGGAGCUCCUGCUGCAUGGUGGGGGUUGGAAAGGUUCGGCGGUUGGGGAUGGACUCGCGGCUUAUCAGCUUGUUGGUGGGGUAGUGGCUUACCAAGGCUUUGACGCGUAGCCGGCCUGAGAGGGUGACCGGCCACAUUGGGACUGGGAUGCGGCCCAGCCUCCUCCGGGAGGCAGCAGAGGGGAAUAUUGCACAAUGGGCUGAAGCAUGAUGCAGCAAAGCCGCGUGCGGGAUGACGGCAUUCGGGUUGUAAACCGCUUUCGCAUGUGACGAAGCGUGAGUGACGGUAAUGGGUAAAGAAGCACCGGCUAACUACGUG
rnacentral:rRNA from 1 species